AUUGAACGCUGGCGGCAGGCCUAACACAUGCAAGUCGAACGGUAACAGGAAGCAGCUUGCUGCUUUGCUGACGAGUGGCGGACGGGUGAGUAAUGUCUGGGAAACUGCCUGAUGGAGGGGGAUAACUACUGGAAACGGUAGCUAAUACCGCAUAACGUCGCAAGACCAAAGAGGGGGACCUUAGGGCCUCUUGCCAUCGGAUGUGCCCAGAUGGGAUUAGCUAGUAGGUGGGGUAACGGCUCACCUAGGCGACGAUCCCUAGCUGGUCUGAGAGGAUGACCAGCCACACUGGAACUGAGACACGGUCCAGACUCCUACGGGAGGCGGCAGUGGGGAAUAUUGCACAAUGGGCGCAAGCCUGAUGCAGCCAUGCCGCGUGUAUGAAGAAGGCCUUCGGGUUGUAAAGUACUUUCGGCGGGGAGGAAGGGAGUAAAGUUAAUACCUUUGCUCAUUGACGUUACCCGCAGAAGAAGCACCGGCUAACUCCGUG
rnacentral:rRNA from 1 species